rnacentral:rRNA from 1 species
CUACGGAGGAUCCGAGCGUUAUCCGGAUUUAUUGGGUUUAAAGGGUGCGCAGGCGGCCAUUUAAGUCAGCGGUUAAAUCGUGGGGCUCAACCCCAUUCUGCCGUUGAUACUGGGUGGCUUGAUUGCGGUCGAGGUUGGCGGAAUUCGUUGUGUAGCGGUGAAAUGCAUAGAUAUGACGAAGAACACCGAUUGCGUAGGCAGCUGACCAGACCGCAAAUGACGCUCAUGCACGAAAGUGCGGGGAUCGAACAGGAUUAGAUACCCUGGUAGUCCGCACAGUAAACGAUGAAUACUUGUUUUCGGCGAUAUAAUGUCGGAGGCAAAGCGAAAGCGAUAAGUAUUCCACCUGGGGAGUACGCCGGCAACGGUGAAACUUAAAGGAAUUGACGGGG